rnacentral:rRNA from 1 species
GACGAACGCUGGCGGCGCGCUUAACACAUGCAAGUCGAACGGAAAGGCCUGCUUUCCCUUGUGGAUUGCGGGUACUCGAGUGGCGAACGGGUGAGUAACACGUGAGUGAUCUGCCCCCAACUUGGGUAUAAGCCUGGGAAACUGGGUCUAAUUCCCGAUAGGACUGCAGGGUGGUGCCUGUGGUGGAAAACGAUUUUCUAGUGGUUGGGGAUGAGCUCGCGGCCUAUCAGCUUGUUGGUGGGGUAAUGGCCUACCAAGGCGGCGACGGGUAGCCGGCCUGGGAGGGUGGACGGCCACAGUGGGACUGAGAUACGGCCCAGACUCCGACGGGAGGCAGCAGUGGGGAAGAUUGCACAAUGGGCGGAAGCCUGAUGCAGCGACGCCGCGUGGGGGAUGACGGCCUUCGGGUUGUAAACUCCUUUCGACCGCGAGGAAGCCACCUGGUUGGAAGGGUGGUGACGGUAGUGGUAGAAGAAGCACCGGCUAACUACGUG